CAGCCAUCGACCCAUCAUUCCCCAUCUUCGCCGCCAUCGCCGCUCCGCUCCCGACGGCGCACUGCCGCUCCUCUCGCCGCCCCUCCCCCGCACCCCCCCCCCCCCCCCCCACUGCUCCGCACUGACGGACUGACCUCAGCUUCUCCUGGUUAGGCUUGGAUUCGUCCGCCACCCUGCAGCAGACCAGAUCUGGCCCACUCGCCCUCCUCACAGCCACGAGCCACAUCGCUGGAGACGGCAACCACCGCCCGCACGCGAACGGGGUGCCCGACGACCAUGCCCAGAGGAAGACAAAGCAGGGGGCCAGACGGCCUCGCGGGCGUCCCCGAAGAGAUCCUGGUCCGCCUCCCGGCGAAAUCCGUCCUUCGCUGCCGCGCCGUCUGCCGUGGGUGGCGCCGCCUCACCACUGAUCCCGCUUUCCUCGUCGCGCACCACCGCCACCAGCCCACGCUCCAUGUCAUCAGCUCAAUUGGAGGCACUGGCGUCAGUCAUUACUACUCCCUCGACGCCAUCCUCGUCAGCCGGUGUUAUGGCCCGGGCGCCGCAGCUUCGAUGCCUCAUGCGACGGGCUUGUGGUCAUCGGCAGUUACAUCUGCAACCCAGCCACACGCCAGUGGGCGCCCCUAAGCCGCCGGAAGGUAUAUUUUGGCAACAUCAUCGGCCUCUACCGGCAUCGUCAGCCGGGUGCUGUUCUGGCGACAGUCGAAUGUUCCUUCUGCAGUGUACUGUCCAAAUGAUUAUUGCGUCCACACGGUGGGCUCGGAGAAGCCAAGGCGCAUUGCUUGCUCAAUAGAACAUGUCGAUGAGGAGCUGAGACGUGGCUUAAGUGGGAUGGGUCCAAACAUCCGUGGCGCGCCAGUACACGUCCAUGGAAACCUGCACGUUCACUGGAAGAAGCCAUCAUGGAACAACUACCACAGGAUCCUGUUCCACACAGUGACCGAGUCGUUGAGGCAGAUGCGCCCCCCUGCUGUGAACCCCCGCCAUAGUAUGCAGUUGUUUGACAUGCAUGGCAUGCUUGCUGCGUCAUGCAGCAAGGAUGCCAUGAUGGACAUUAGAAUCUUCGCACUGCAGGUCUACGAAAGCGAAGUCUGGUCAUUCCAGUACCGGAUCAAGCUGCCAGAAAUGGAGAUCCGGCAGUUCCAGGAACAAGGAGAUUGGUUAGCCAAGAUCGUGUCUGAGGAAGGCGACCUGCUUGUCAGCUGCUUUGGCUGGCUGUUGCACUAUGACAGAAACUGCAAUUUGCUGGCCAAGUUCCAGUAUGAUGAUGAUCUACCCGUGUUGACCCCUUAUAGGCUCAAAGAAAGCCUUAUCUAGCAUACAUUUUUCCAAAAGAAGCCGAACAAUUCAUCUUCUCCAUUUAUGCCAUACAACAGAUAUUGAUCUGUGCUUGGAAGAUACUUCUCAAGUUCUUCGCAUAUAUCAAGGGUACUCUUUUUGGGUGCUAUUCAGCAUUUCUGAUCACAUUACUUUAUUUGUCUUUGUGCUUCAUGGUGUCUGAAGAUAGUCAUAGUAUGUUUUAUAGCAGAUGGAAGGCGCCGCUGGACUAUGGUUUUAUAUAUGCGUGAGUAGCAAAGGGAUGGCUGGUUUACUUUCCAGUCUGUAUAGCUAUCCUUCUUGUAAUACCCGAGUGCUUGUAUAAAUGAUCGUACUAUUCCUGAGCUCA